AAGGUCAUUAACUGAGAGAGGGAGAGGUGUCUCAGAGCCAGAACCUUCGCUCGGUCUUCUCCUCAUCCCUUCUCUGUCGUCAGCUCAUCGCCGGUGUAGGAGUGCUAGAGUUUCGUUCGAUGUUGCCAUGGAGUUCGCGUCGCAUCCUCUUCCUCAGUUCUGCACCAACUUCCCUUUCCUCUCCUUCUACAGCGUCGUCCUUUCUCCUUCAUUCAGCUGGCAGCCACCGGUGACUGUACCUUUCUAUCAUUCUCGUUGGAGUUUUGCUCGCGCGACCUUCUCCUUCAUGUUCUGUCUGAGUAGCGGGUUGGAUUUAUCAGAAAUCUCCCUCCCCUGUUCUGUCUAUUCCUGAGGCGUCCUUUCGCAAUCUCUUCCUCGACCACUCCUCCCUCUUCUGUUCUUGCUUUCGUGAUGGUGUGUCCAGCUUCUUCUUGCCUCUGCCGCUGUUGAUUGAGGACCAUUACUAUGAGAAUCUGUGUUGUUGAAGUCAGAGCUUUGAGAUCGCUGUUUCCCCUGCUUCACGUUGGUCCUUCUUUCUUUCUCCUUUCGCACAGCAGCAACGUUCAGCUCUUCCCCCUGGUUUUACGGUCGCUAGCACGCUCAUGUAGUCAAGGGGAAAGCUUUGAUCUUCUCCCUCUCCUCUGUAUACAUAGCUGGUUUGUAUCAGUGUGAGAUUUGAGUUUUGCUUCUUUUCUCAAUGCUGGAUUAUUCCUCUCUCUGGUUCAGCGUCUCUGGCUUUACUGAUAGCAUAAUUGACGCUGUAUGUCUUGCUUACAAAGGAUAGGUGUUUGCGGAACAGAAUGGAGGCUUGUUCUGUAAAUAUGUCUUAUGGAUGUAAAGGAUGUAUGAUGUGGUUCACUUCCUGUGCCGAUCACCCCUAUUUUUAGGGUGUGACAUUACUUGAUGAGAUCAACACUGAGUCUCUCAAAUCCAAGAUUGAAAAAGAUUCUCAAAACGUCGCUAACAAGGUGCGAUCCUCCUUGGUUUGCAAAGUGUUAGCGUGAGAGUGCAUAAAACACCUUCAACUUCAUUGGGAAAUGAAUCUAAUGUGGUUGGUAGGGAGGAUGAUAAGGAGAAGCUAAUGAAAAUGCUUCUGUGUGAUGAAGAUCCAAAGGGUAAUGACAUAGGAGUGAUCACUAUCUGGGGAAUGGGAGGGUUGGCUAAAACAACCCUUGCUCAGCUCCUUUACAAUGAUGAGAAGGUGCCUGGGCAUUUCGAUUUGAAGGCAUGGGCAUGUGUUUUGGAUGAUUUUACUGUUUUAGAGGUGACAAAGAAUCUUCUUGAGUCCGUCACUUCAAAAGUCCAUGAUAGUAAAAAUCUAGACUUCCUUCGUGUUGAACUAAGAAAUAACUUGAGCAAUAAAAAGUUUUUAAUUGUGUUGGAUGAUCUGUGGAAUGAGAAAUAUAGUCAUUGGGAUGACCUUAUAACCCCUUUUCACAGUGGAAGAAGGGGAAGCAGAAUCAUCGUAACAACUCAUCAAAAAAGAGUUGUUGAAAUCACACAUACCUUUCUUGUACUUGAGUUGCGUUGUCUCUCGAAUGAUAAUUGUUGUCUUUUACUCUCCAAGCAUGCAUUUGCAAAUGAAGAUCCAAACAAAUAUCCAAAGCUAAGAGCAAUCGGUAAGCAAAUUGUAAGAAAAUGUGGUGGCCUCCCAAUUGCUGUUAAAACCAUUGGAGGUCUUUUGCGUUCAAAAGUGGAUGAAAAGGAAUGGAAUAAAAUUCUAAAUAGCAACCAGUGGGACAUACCAAAUGAUGAUGUUAUGCCUGCUUUGCGUCUGAGUUAUCUAUAUCUACCAUCACAUUUGAAGAAAUGCUUUGCUUAUUGCUCAAUCUUCCCUAAAGAUAUGUUAUUGGAGAAAAAGAAAUUGGUCUUGUUAUGGAUGGCUGAAGGCUUUGUACAACAACAAUCCCAUGGGGAGAAGACAUUUAAAAUAGAAGCGGAUGACUACUUUAAUGAAUUAUUGUGUAGGUCAUUCUUUCAACAAGAUGGUGGUGAUCCAAGAAAGUUUUCAUGCAUGAUCUCAUCAAUAAUUUAGCCAAAGUUGUAUCCGGAAAGAGUUGCCUAUGGUUUGAAGGCCAAAAUAUUUCAAAACCUACUCUUCGUCAUUUAUCAUAUCCUAGGAAACUAUAUGAUGGCUCUAAAAGGUUUGAGAACUUUUAUCAUUUAAAUUGUCUGAGGACUUUUUUACCACAAUCUAAGGACGAUGGGAUGAUAGAGUGUUGUUUGACUCAAAGGGUACCAUAGGAUUUGUUGCCAAAACUAAAAUGUUAAGAGUACUCUCUUUGUUUGGCUAUCAAAAUGUCAAUGAGCUGCCUAAUUCAAUUGGUAAUUUGCAACAUUUGCGAUAUCUAAACCUUUCUUAUAGUUCAAUUGAAAGAUUGCUUGAUGCAGUCUAUACACUUUACAAUUUGCAGACAUUGCUUUUAUCAAAUUGUAAGUGUUUUAAAGAAUUGUCGGGAAAGAUAAAAAGGCUUAUUAAUCUACGUCACCUAGACAUUAGUGGCACCGCUUUAAAGGAGAUGCCUAGACAAAUUACAAAACUAGAAAAUCUUUCAAGUUUAAGUAACUUUAUGGUGGGCAAACAACCGAAUGGAUUGGGAAUUAAAGAGUUCAAAAAGCUCCCUUGUCUACAAGGUAAACUUUCCCUUUCAAAACUAGAAAAUGUUGUUGAUUCAAUGGAUGCUUUGGAGGCAAACUUGAAGAGGAGAGAUAGAGUUGAGGAGUUAGUGUUGGAAUGGGAUUGUGAUGCUCAAGAUUCAAAAAUUGUGAAAAAUGUACUCAACGUGCUACAACCUUCAACCAAUUUACAACGAUUGACCAUCAACCACUAUGGUGGCACAAUCUUUCCAGAUUGGGUCGGAGAUUCUUCAUUCAAUAAUAUUACAUAUUUAUCAGUAAGUGAUUGCAAGUAUUGCUUUUCGCUCCCAUCAUUUGGACAAUUACCUUCUCUCAAAGAGCUUCUUAUUAAAAGAAUAGAAUUAGUACAGAUAGUUGGAUGUGAGUUCUAUUGCAGCAACACAAAGCGCUCUUCAUUUCAACCAUUUCCAUCCUUGGAAAUUCUAGAAUUUAACGAUAUGCCUGUUUGGGAGGAAUGGGUAUUGUUUGAUGGAAAAGGUGCCGAAUUUCCUUUUCCUCAUCUCAAACAUUUGAGUUUAUAAGAUUGUCCUAUGUUGAGAGAAGACAUGCCUAGUAACCUUCCAUCAUUGACAAAGGUUUCUAUUUCAAAUUGCAAACGGCUGGAGGCAAAAUCAACACCUUUGUGUUGGAUUGAAUCUAUUGAAGAAUUAGAAAUAAAGCAAGGGGAGCAAGGGUUAUUGGGAGCUCUUGAUUGUUAUUCUUUGGAUUCUUUAAAAUAUAUAAAAAUUAGGCAUUGUGAUUGCUUGUGGUCUUUGCCAAGAAUGACAAUGGGUAGCCAUUUUCUUUUAGAGUUGUCUCUCUAUGAUAUCCCAUCAAUCAUGUCCUUUCCAAUUGAAGGUUUGCCUACUUCUUUGGAACGUCUUGUAUUUGAAAAUUGUGAGAAAUUAGAGUUUGUACCUCAAGAAUCUUUACAAAAUUGCACAUCACUUGAAGCCUUGACAAUUCUGAACAGUUGUCAUUCCUUGGCAUCCUUUCCAUUAGGUUGUUUUCCUAAGCUUGAAAGGCUUCACAUUAGCGGUUGUCAUAAUUUGAAGACCUUUACAUGUGUUGGGGGAUCUGCUCUUCCCUUACAAGCUUUUCGGAUUCGUAGUUGCGAAAAAUUUAGAUCAAUGUCAGAAGUACACAUUGAUUCCCUUGCCAGCCUUCAAUAUUUUUAUCUAAGAAAGCUUCCAAAUUUGGAAUCAUUGCCUCAAUGUGGUUUGCCUUCUAAUUUACGAUAUUUGGAAAUUAACAGCUGUGAGGGACUAUCUUGUAUACCAAUUAAAGAUUGGGGUUUUCAACGGCUGACUUCUCUCUCAACGUUGUGGGUUGGAGGUGAUAGGAGUGAAACUAUACUCCAUGAUUUACUAAACAAUCAAUUAUUGCCCAGCUCUCUUGUGCGUUUUUGCAUAUAGGAUUUCUCUAGUCUUAAACAGUUAGAUUGAAAAUGGCUUCAGCACCUUACUUCUCUCGAAAAUCUCUUCAUUUGGAAUUGUUCAAACUUUGAAUCCUUGCCAGAAGAUGCACUGCCACCCUCUCUUCUUGAGUUAGAAAUCCGCAGUUGUCCUAAAUUAGAAGAAAUAUAUAAUUUUGAUGGAGGAAAACACUUGUCUGACAUCUCUCAUAUUUCAACCAUAAUAAUUAAUGAUGAAGUACUAUGAUCCUUGAGAUGGUACUGCGACGUAGUGUCAAAUGGUUAGAGAAGAUAAGAAAGCAGUCAAAGAGAGACAUAUAUGAUAUGCAGGAAAGGCAAAUCAAGAAGCUAAGCCAAUGCCAAGUUAGAAAAUAUGAAACGAGCUUAGACGAAUUGCUCACUUUCAGAACCAGGAGCUGACUUUCAUUGAUAUAACUUUGUUCUUGAAGAUUCUAUGACAUACACACCUUCCAGGUAUUUCAAGGGAACAACGAAUAAUUGACAAUGGUCACGGAGGAAAUUUGUUGUUGCGACCAAGAAAAGAAGGAAAGCUAACCAUGACAAAAUACAAAAAAGAAAAAUGAAGUUGAUGAAUGAUUUAGAAAGAGAUGAAGGAUUGAAUUUGAAGAUGUAAUCAGAUUAUUAUUUAUCUAAGCUUAAUUGUGUACUUCCUAUAUAUCAUUGUUCGAAUUUGAGUAUUUGGGUGCUUAGAAUGUUUUUGCUACCUACUUUUCCAAGAGCAAUUUCUAGUGAACUAUUUUUUACAUUCGUUUUAUUAGUUUUUGGGUGAGUUUGGCAAAACCAUGUAUGACAAUUUUAGGUGAGUUUUGUAAAAACUUUUGUUAGAGUUGUGAGUGAGCUCGAUGUGUAA